UGAGUAACACGUGAGUAACCUGCCCUUGACUCUGGGAUAAGCCUGGGAAACUGGGUCUAAUACUGGAUAUGCACCGUGGACCGCAUGGUUCUUGGUGGAAAGAUUUAUUGGUCAGGGAUGGACUCGCGGCCUAUCAGCUUGUUGGUGAGGUAAUGGCUCACCAAGGCGACGACGGGUAGCCGGCCUGAGAGGGUGACCGGCCACACUGGGACUGAGACACGGCCCAGACUCCUACGGGAGGCAGCAGUGGGGAAUAUUGCACAAUGGGCGAAAGCCUGAUGCAGCGACGCCGCGUGAGGGAUGACGGCCUUCGGGUUGUAAACCUCUUUCAGUAGGGAAGAAGCGAAAGUGACGGUACCUGCAGAAGAAGCGCCGGCUAACUACGUGCCAGCAGCCGCGGUAAUACGUAGGGCGCAAGCGUUAUCCGGAAUUAUUGGGCGUAAAGAGCUCGUAGGCGGUUUGUCGCGUCUAUCGUGAAAGUCCGAGGCUCAACCUCGGAUCUGCGGUGGGUACGGGCAGACUAGAGUGAUGUAGGGGAGACUGGAAUUCCUGGUGUAGCGGUGAAAUGCGCAGAUAUCAGGAGGAACACCGAUGGCGAAGGCAGGUCUCUGGGCAUUAACUGACGCUGAGGAGCGAAAGCAUGGGGAGCGAACAGGAUUAGAUACCCUGGUAGUCCAUGCCGUAAACGUUGGGCACUAGGUGUGGGGGACAUUCCACGUUUUCCGCGCCGUAGCUAACGCAUUAAGUGCCCCGCCUGGGGAGUACGGCCGCAAGGCUAAAACUCAAAGGAAUUGACGGGGGCCCGCACAAGCGGCGGAGCAUGCGGAUUAAUUCGAUGCAACGCGAAGAACCUUACCAAGGCUUGACAUGUGCUAGAUCGCCAUAGAAAUAUGGUUUCCCCUUUGGGGCUGGUUCACAGGUGGUGCAUGGUUGUCGUCAGCUCGUGUCCUGAGAUGUUGGGUUAAGUCCCGCAACGAGCGCAACCCUCCGUUCCAUGUUGCCAGCACGUAAUGGUGGGGGACUCCUGGGGAGAAU
rnacentral:rRNA from 1 species